UACGAAGGGGGCUAGCGUUGCUCGGAAUCACUGGGCGUAAAGCGCACGUAGGCGGCUUACUAAGUCAGGGGUGAAAUCCCGGAGCUCAACUUCGGAACUGCCUUUGAUACAGCACGUCUUGAGUCCGGAAGAGGUGGGUGGAAUUCCUAGUGUAGAGGUGAAAUUCGUAGAUAUUAGGAAGAACACCGGUGGCGAAGGCGGCCCACUGGUCCGGUACUGACGCUGAGGUGCGAAAGCGUGGGGAGCAAACAGG
rnacentral:rRNA from 1 species